UAAAAUAUUCUGUAAACCUGACCUGGAACGAUAAUAUCAAUGAAGGAUAAUAAAAAACUGAUAAUAUAUACCAUACCAAGGACAUCAACAGUGAGCUCAUUAAUGAGCAGCUUGAUUCAGAGUACUUAAGAUGAGUCACUGUACAAAGAAACCUGAAAUGCCCUGAAAACAUCCUACUCACACAAGAAAAAAACUUGACAGAAGUUCCCUUGUUUGACAACAAUCCUAAAACUUCAGAUGGCAUUAUUAAUAAAGCAUAAAGGAACUUUCCUAAACUAUCAAUAAUGUUUUUGUAAAGAAUUGAUUAACCAUGGUAGAAGAAAACUGUAUUAUCUUUCUAGUCUCUCUAGAGUAAAUGAUAUUACAAAAUCAAAUAAAAAUUUGAUUAGAUUUUAGGGGAAAUAUGAUAGAUGUCAGUGUAUGUCAUUUUUCUGCACUUUGUGGGGUUUUCAGUAUUUUAAAAUGUAUUUAUUGUGAUUUUUUUUUUUCAUUCUAGGAAAAGAUUCACUCUUGCUUCAAUUUUGUAUUCUCUUUCGUAAAAAGAGCCUUAAAGAGAGCCUUAAAAAGGGUAUGGUAUAAACCCCACCAAACCUGCAUGGCUCCAUCAGGGAGAAGGAGAACUGAUGUUAAGAUAGUGCCCCAACUUGCCUGGCAGCUUCUACCUCCUGACUGUUGGAGAAGUCAUCCAUUGUGUAAGCACAACUACCCAAGACCACCAUGUUGUGAGGAGCUUGUAUCUCAUGGAAAGGCCCUAAUGAUUAGAGUGACACAUGAUCAUGGAGGCACCAGGCAUAGAAAGAAGCUUUAGAUCUAAUAGUGUUGAAAGUGACUGAUUUAGGUGAUAAAUAUUAAGAGCCUUGGCGGAGGACUGAGAAGUAGAAAAGGAAGUCACUGUGGAUGCAAAAUUAACAGAACUUGGAAAGUGAUUAAAUUCAGUGGUUUAAAAUUAAGCUUUGUUUCAACUUUCCCUUCUGCAGGCUACAUAAACCCAGAGCCAUCAUCUUUCUUGGCUAGCUUCACAAACCUUUCAUUAUCUUGGUUGCUGUUUCCAGAAGUAUUUCUUUGAGUUUCCAAAUGGUGUUCCGUUAUAGAUUCUCACAUGGAGCUUAACUGUAUUGAAAUGAGGAGCCAAGACUUCCAACUCACAAACAAAUCCACGGAUCUGACAUGCAUGGAUACACAGAUGGAACAGACAUCAUCAGUAGCUGGAACAUAUCCCCUCACUUUCUAUAGAUGCUGAGUGACUUGCACCUACCAACACUUGCAUUUCUUUCACAGCCCGUUUUGGCCACUGAAGGAAGAUGGAAAGGCUGGAGUUAAUGAAUCUCCCCAUCUGCCAAACAGCCUGCAACAAAUAACUGACUGGGGUUGGUGUAUAAAUACCCUUCUCUUAUAAUAGAUGGAUAGCUGGGGUUCCAAGUCCAACCUGUACUAACUCACCAUCUGACUUUAGGCAUGUUACUUCUCUCUCUCUCUUUCUCUCAGUUCCAAUUUUCUUACCCUUAAAAUAAAGGGUUUUGACUAUAUUAACAAUUUCCAGAAUGUGUUCCUUGGAAGAACGCUGAAUUUUGAG